rnacentral:rRNA from 1 species
GGGAAACGAUGUGGGAAGGCCCAGACAGCCAGGAUGUUGGCUUAGAAGCAGCCAUCAUUUAAAGAAAGCGUAAUAGCUCACUGGUCGAGUCGGCCUGCGCGGAAGAUGUAACGGGGCUAAACCAUGCACCGAAGCUGCGGCAGCGACACUCAGGUGUUGUUGGGUAGGGGAGCGUUCUGUAAGCCUGUGAAGGUGUGUCGUGAGGCAUGCUGGAGGUAUCAGAAGU